AAUACAGUUUUGCGCUAGAGUUUAUCCGUGGUCGAUGGAGGUGGACGCCGCCGCUCUCAGCGCUGCGCUGCGGUGGCUCCCCUGCCCGCCGCUACUCCCAGCACCGGCACGGCAUCCGCGGACGCGGCCAGCGGCGACGUCCGCCGCUUCCCUGUGGCCCCCCUUGCCGUCGCCGCAGGCUUUACUUUCAGUCAGAUCAGAAAGUGAUGGUCUACUUUUGCAUACAUUCAGAUUCAGGCGUGUCCCGCCUUGGAAUGGAGACAACUAUUUUUUUUCCCUAUAAUCAACGGAGAAAGAGAGGGUGAAACCGUAAAGUAAGCAGCUGGUGGAGAUUCAAUACUCUUGGCAUCCUACUGAAUACUGCCAGUAUUUGCUUAUCACGUUCAUUCACACGGCGCGGACUCUGAGCCUUUGUCUUGUUUGGCCAAUGUCAUUAUACUGGAGGCUUUAGCGUCGUCUGUCAUGUACAGGUUGAAAUGUGUGCGCCUUGAAAACCAUGACACCACGGACAGGCCACCAGCACGAACUCUGAGGCUUUGUUUUGUUUUGCCCAAUAUCAUUAUACUGGACGCUUUAGCGUUGUUUGUCAUGUACAAGUUGAAAUGUGUGCUCCUUGAAAACCGUGACAUCACCGGCUGGCCACCAGCGCGGGAUCUGAAGCCGGGUAUUGAAGAGCAGGAACUGCAGCAGCUUGUUUCGCCCCUGAAUGGAUGCAAACUGCAGGAGCUCUGUACGGAUGAUGCCACGGGACUCCUAGCUGUUCCCAUCUGCAACCUCCUGUCUUCCUCCCUCACCGUCCUGGGCUUUUCUGUGAACCAAGAGAUGGAGUGCUUUACUAAGGAGCAAGAGGAUGCCCUUCAUCUGCUCGUCUCCCUCCAGAAACUGAUGUUUUACAACUUGAGCAAGCUUCAGAGCCUCCCUGCAGGGCUGCAAAAGCUCACCAACCUCAAGGAAUUAUCGGUCUACUCAUGCCCGGUUAUCCGGUCGCUACCAGAGGAUGGCCUCCCCAAAUCACUUCAAAAAUUAAUUGUCUGGAAUUGUGGCAGCGCGGAGCUAAAACAGCAGUGCAAAGGGUUAGUGGGAACCAUCCCAAAAAUCAUCCUGCAACUGGAAGACUUAUAAAAGGUCUUUGCCUUCGAGUUCCCGUGUACAUUGUUCUUCUUUCUUGCGGUUGGUGUACAUUCUUCUAGCUGUACAAUUGUCACAUAGAUGAAGGUCUUGUGGCCAGCUUCUUGUACAUAAAUCUGGUGUUCUUCUCAAAAUAUUACAUGUACAUUUGGAUUUUCGUUUCUCCUCAAAUAUUCGAUGGUCUACUAAGUAGUUCUGGUGUGAGAAUCAGAAUAUUACCACAGCAUAAUUCAGAAAUGAAGUAGACUUUGGUGCUACACUAUUGAUAUUACCAAAAACCUUCUACCUUCCUGUACCUAAAUCUGUUUUCUGUGCAGGUGUUCUUAUGUUUUACUCGUAGGCUUCUAUACAUGCUUUGCAUUUAAAUUUUGGUAGCCAUCGCUCAACAGGACAUGGUGUACACGACUAAUUUCAGUGUCGAGAUCAAGAUAUUACCACGAAAUGAUUGUAGAGUGUUCUUAUGUUUGGUCUCAUAGGCUUCUACAUACUUUACAUUUAAAUUUCGUCCGACAUCAAUUGUUAAGACUUGGUGGGUGUAUGUGGCAACUUUGGGUGUGAGGAUCAAAAUAUCACCACAUAAUAAGCGAGACUUCUGUGCUUCGCUACUGAUAUUAAGGUAUCAUCAUGUUUUCUCUGGCAUGGUUCCUGGUACUUAGCGUUUUCAUUUGGUUGUUACUCACAAAGACUUGGCGGUGUACCUAGAAAGUCCAGGUUUGAAGAUCAAAAGAAAGGUAUAACAGUUUUCAGUCGUUCGCUCUUUUCAGUCCUUCCUAUUUCAAAUAACAUGUACUCUCAGAAUCUUACGUCAGUUACGGCAUUAAUUUAGUUGGUGCAUCUGUUGGAUCCAACUUCAUAUAUUUAGUUGUCAGGCUAUCACUGAAAGGUUUGUCUAGUAUGUUCGCCCUUUGCAUCUAUAUGGAAGGUGGUUCUGUAAUUGUUCGCGUUUCUGCGCAAAAGUAGGAAUGUUAAUUGACUUGUGCUUCCAAGUUUUCAGGGUGAACAAAGGUUCUUCCUUUUGGUUGAUCGCCCUGGCAUGCAUGUGGUACUAAUCUGGAACUACACAACACAUUUGUUGAAACAGUGAAUAGUUGAAGCAAUAGUGGAGGAUGCUUGCUGUGACAAGAAUUUAGUUGCUCCUGGGUUGCUUACAUGUGAAUCUUGCCUAACUAGUGACUGAUUUAGUUUUGUUGAUCAACCUCAUUUGAAGCAAUGGAUCGAAUUGGCUAAAAGAUGUGGAUGAGCCAGCCAGUUUCUGCUACUGUAACUCCCACAAAAAAAAAGCGAACCAAACACAUCUUCAUUCUUCAGCCCACAAGAAGUGUUACAAGUGCCGGUGUGAUGAGAAAAGUCAAACCAGGCCAUUCAUUUUUACCUUCGCAUCACAUAUAAGAUGGAAGGCGGUGGCGAAAUGAUCAGCGUUUGCUUCACAACAAUAGAAUGCUGCUGGUCCGGCUUGCCUGAAGUCUUGCCGCUUGCUGUUGGAUACGGGCCCUAUUGAAACAAGGUGGAGGGGCAUGGGAGAUGGACAAGAGGUGGAUUUUUCCGAAGCAAACGCAGACAUCCAGGGACUUUCAACAGGGGCUGCCACACAAAAAGGUAAAGGGAAAGGGGGUGGCGGUGGCGGUGGAAGAGGAGUGCGCCGCAGCGCAGGAGGAGAAUGACGGCUAUCAUAUCAUCAGCAGUGCGCCGCAUUUACUGCACUUCGGCAUGUUUUGUAAGGGGAACAGCAAGGGAAGAGUUUGUAUUUCUCUCUCUCUCUGAAUCCUCUGUUUCUUCCAAAACAGAAAAAGAGUAAGAAAGAAAUUGGUCUGAGACUUCUCCUUCCAACACAAUCCUCUGUUUAUUGUGUUGGUAGUAGUAGACUAGUUUACUCGCUGCCCGUGGAAAGACUUGGCUUGCUGUCAAAGAGGGAUCCCUUCCUUGAUGAACAAUCAAUGUUUGGCUCCAUCACUCCCCUCUUCUAUAUGACAUAUGUCCAAAAACCA